GGAGGGCAAGCCUGGUGCCAGCAGCCGCGGUAACUCCAGCUCCAAUAGCGUAUAUUAAAGUUGUUGCGGUUAAAAAGCUCGUAGUUGAAUCUGUGUCCCACACUGUCGGUUCACCGCUCGCGGUGUCCAACUGGCAUGUCUGUGGGACGUCCUGCCGGUGGGCGCAGCCCCUCAAAAGGCGGCCCAACUCAAAAUCCUACCACGGUGCUCUUCACCGAGUGUCGAGGUGGGCCGGUACGUUUACUUUGAACAAAUUAGAGUGCUUAAAGCAGGCUCAUUCGCCUGAAUAUUCUGUGCAUGGAAUAAUGGAAUAGGACCUCGGUUCUAUUUUGUUGGUUUUCGGAACUCCGAGGUAAUGAUUAAUAGGGACAACUGGGGGCAUUCGUAUUGCGACGUUAGAGGUGAAAUUCUUGGAUCGUCGCAAGACGGACAGAAGCGAAAGAAAUGUGUUUUCAUCAAUCAAGAACGAAAGUUAGAGGUUCGAAGGCGAUCAGAUACCGCCCUAGUUCUAACCAUAAACGAUGCCAGCUAGCGAUCCGCCGAAGUUCCUCCGAUGACUCGGCGGGCAGCUUCCGGGAAACCAAAGCUUUUGGGUUCCGGGGGAAGUAUGGUUGCAAAGCUGAAACUUAAAGGAAUUGACGGAAGGGCACCACCAGGAGUGGAGCCUGCGGCUUAAUUUG
rnacentral:rRNA from 1 species